rnacentral:sRNA from 1 species
UUUUAGCCCUGAUAGUAGUGUAAAUCCUUUUGCGUCGGUCCCGAGGCUUCGGAAGGCAUAAAAGAUUGCAACGAAUAGCAGGAUUAGCU